AUCACUUCCCACAAAUCAGUGGGCGCGAGCACCUUGGUCUCCAUGAUGACAGUCUUGUUAUUGUUGUUCAGUAGAUAAUCAUGGAUGGAUGAAGAAUACAACUGUUUUUUUUUUAAACCACGUAACGUUUCCUAAUAUAACAGUCGACGAUAUGGUGGAAUAAUCAGAUUUUCGUUUCCUGUUCGCGGACUCUUAACUCUCAUCCACACACGCUUUGAUAGAUCAGGAUCGGACCAGCUGAGAGCUGGUUACUUCACAUUUUCUCCCAGCACAGCUGUGAUCCAGUGUGUGUGGUUCCGACUGUUGGAGAAGCAUGAGGGUGGAGCAGCGGUGGUGCAGCAGCAGCAGCAGCGGGCCGGUCCGGACACAGGAGGCUCGGAGUCGGAUCACAGCCUUGAUGGAGGAGGUGCGCCUAUAACCGCUUCAGGAGGAUGAUUUCACGAUACAACCGCCGGCCUGGAUCUCACAGCCUAGAGAUUCGUGGUUUGUCCCGCAGCUGUCUGGACCAGCAUCCUCUUCCAGAGGAGGCAGAUGAUGAUAGUGUACAUCCCAGACUCCUGCAUGAUCUUCAGGAGGACAUGUCCUCAUCCAGCAGGUCUGAGGAGUCCUCUGCGUCAUCCGUCGGAUCAGGAUGUCAGACACUCACCACAGAUGACACAGCUCAGUCUUGGUCUGGUAUCCAUAGUUACACAGGAACUGGCAUCUCUACAGAGCACAGCUCUGUCUUUUCGUGGGGCUACGAUGAAUUUGAUAAAGCCGCCUCCAGGCAGGUCCAGCAGAUGUUUGAAGAGAUUGAAGAGCUGUUGUACGAGAGGAAGUGUGAAACACAGCUCAAAGGCCUGCAGGAAGAGUGUCAGGAGUGGGCUUCACGAUUCUCUCAUCUACGGAUCCUUGGAACACAGCUGGUUUGUCCCACAGAUGAAGGAUUCCAGUGGUUCGCCACACCAGCUCAUGCACCCAUCCCCUCCAGUGGCGACCAGAGCAAAGAGAAAACUAAUGAGUUGUGUGUGCAGGGUCGGAGGGCAGUUUUGUGUCGGCCCUCUGUGGAGGUGACCCACCCGAGUGUCACACCCUGUAGUAACCAAGAGUUGCCCAGGGUAAUCGAAGCCGAGGGGCUGAUAGAAGAGUAUCUAGCCUUCGACUGCAGGGACCUGGAUGAGGAAUUGGAACGUGAGUAUGUGAACAGACGGCGGAGGCACUGGCUUCCCCCUGUCUCGCCUUAUCGCUGUCGCCGGGAGGCGGUGCUUGAUCUGCUGUUUGAUUACGUGUGGCGUGAGCUCACUGGCUGGAUGGAGGAGCUUGUACGUAGGCAUUGGGAGGGGUUUGUGUCAGAUGAUGAGAAGAAUACCGUGGCCCUCAGCCCUGCCUGCUCUGAUACUCAGAAUCCUUUUCUGCUGCUGUCCAAUGUCUCAACAGUGCUUCCUCCACUGUCCCAGACCAGAACGCAACAGCUCGCGGACAGCUUGCAGGCCCAGAGCUCAAACUCAUGGGGUUCAAAGCACAAGUCAAGACGGAAAACCAAAAAGCAGAGAAAGUCAUCGACAACCAGUCGAGUACCUGUAGGGGCGGCAGUUGCUCAUCACAAUCUCAAUGACCUCAUCAUGAUACAUGGUAUUCCACUGCAGCAAAGGAACCUGGGGACACUGGACCGAAUAACUCAGGACUCCGAGGAGAAAGUGUCUCAACGUCCCGGCUCUAGUGUCGUUCCCACCAGUAAACCUCGACCACGCCGUGCACUGGAACAAAGCACCUCCUCUUUGACACGCCCCCCUCAGUCGGCAUGGCGACGGAACCCGCCCCCUCGCACUCUAAUGCCAUUGACAUCCAGUGUAACACAACCCAUCACGACUGGCUCCAUGGAAGAGGUGCUUAGAGGCACAAGAUUGAUGACCGUCGGUGAUCGUUUGGCCUCACCUCCAAUGCAUCUCAGUAGAAACACACUCCUCCCUCCCAUUGGUACAGGAGACACAGAACACACAUACUCCGGACAGCACUCACGGCUUACGCAGAAGCAGAGAGGCUCCUCGAGUCGUGCACACAGUGCAGUGACCGAUGAGAGUGUCAGACUGCAACCCCGAGACAAACUGCACCUGCUGGAUGUGUUUUCCAGACCCAACACCACACACACCUUUAGGUCAGACACCCCAUAUCGGCGUUCAUUCACUGGAAUAGACAACAUCGGGCAGAGACGACCUGGCAGAGCGUCUGUUGGUGUAGAUUCUCUGGGAAUUGGCGUGACUGGAAUCAGUCUGGGUAUCAGCAGCUCCUCCUUCAUAGGCUCAUUUUCCCAUCAUCCCCUUGGUCACUUCCCAAAUGAGCAUGAGGAGGAGCCAAAUGCUAAAGCUCCGCCCCCAGUGUCUGUUCCAGCACAUCCCCACAACAGAGGUGCUUCGACGGCACGCAGUAGCAGACCAGGGCUUUAACACAAACACACUUACACACACAGUCUCCCUCACAUUCUUGAACCAAACACACCUCGGCACUGAUGCAACUUUUCUUCAGUACUGACAGUCGCUUUAUACGUCUGCUGGACUUUUGUAUAACACGCCGUUUGGGCGUGAACUUUAUUUAUGACCGCUGUUGUUAUUAUUAGAAGUAUUGUUAUUCAUGUUGAUGUUUGAAAUUUUCUAAAACCUUAUUUUUGUAUAUUGGAUAUUCAGCUUUAUAUGGCUGCCAAAUACAGGAAACUGUCUUUCCCUUACAUCUUUAGAUGUACUGUACAUGCUGUACUGUAUGGAAUAACAACUUUUGGUUUUCCCUAAAAAUGGCUCUAUGAAGCCUACAUGGAGUUUCCAUGCAGGUUCGUUCAAGCAGGGUAUUAAAUUGCCUGAAUGUUGCCUCACCGGUGUGUUCAGGACCCUGUUGGAUCGUGUGAACCUGCUAUAGAAGAUUAUACUAUCUAUAUCCUAGAUGGAUAUUCCAUUGUGAUGCAAUUCCACCAAUUUCAUCCACGAUCAUGGACCGUAGGUUCAAAAGGGUUGUAAGUCUUUAUAUCAUGAUUCCGUGAUCAUGUAAUUUUAAAAAACAUUAUAACAUUCAAACUGACUCCAAGGUCUUAUUCAGUGUAGAACCAACAUGACCCUGUUUUUCAGAAGGAAACAUGAAUACACUGAAAUUCUGGAAGUACACCUGCAAUACAAGAGUAGGCCAGUACAAUUGUACAGCUUACAUAAUGACGGUUGAAAAGAGGAUUUCAAGUUUCAAGAAAAUAAGCCAUAAGUCCCGCAAGCCAUACAGAGUUUGGCAAGCGACGGACAGGCUGGAGUUUAUUAAUUAUUACAUAUUUAAAUAGAAACGCACACAAAGACUGCAGGGUUUGUUCAAAUAAGUGUACUGUAUCUUUUUUGUUGUUGGCAUUAAGUGGAUUUGGUUCCUUUGGUGCCAGGAAAUCCUUAAAUAUUUAACAUUGACUGGUAAAGCUCAUUUUGACGUACCAUUUUACUGGCAGAUAUUAAAUGUGGCUCUUACAGGUCUGUAAUGUUUAUGUGGCAGCUUCACUGUAAAAGCAUUUAUUGAAAACGUACAGACUCUAACUUAACAUUUGCAUUUCUCCGAUUUGAUUAACGUGUUGAUCUCAGUGAGUGUAUAUUGCUUUUAAACAACCUUUUUUUUUUUUUUUUUUCAAUCUGGAGAGUAUCUAAGCUCAAAGCAUGUGUUAUGAGUGUACAGGCCAUCAAAAUGUUUGAUGAUCAAAGAGAUGGAUUCCUCUAUAGCCAUACCGAAGGGGUGUCACGGGAAGACAUCUCUUCAUACCCCAGCCUAACGCCUCCGCCUCUAAGACAGAGCCAACUAUUCAUCACUCAGCUCAGCAAGGACAAUCUAGAGUUGCAGAAGUUGUAGCCAUAUUUGACUUCUAGACUUUCUCUGUCAUUGGACAGAGGUUUCUAGAGUUCCAGUAGACAUUCUGCUGUCUGACCACAGAGUUUCAUUGCUGCUGAUUUGAGUGGGCCGAUUUCAAGAGCCAUGUCGCCUGGAUCAACAGACCACGCUGGUCUUUUUAAACACGGAUGCAGAUCUUUUGCAAGCGGACAUGUUUCCUGUGUGGAAAUAAUAGUUUAUCUGCUCUAUGUCUGUUGGAGAUGACAGUGCUGGAUGGGAGUGUGUGUGAUUGUGUGUGUGUGUGUGUGUGGAGGUGACAGUUCUUGGCAGGUGUAGCACUGCUCUAUUUAAGAUUUCCCCUAAAUGUUUACCUCUGUAACUUAAAUGAGAAUGGCAAUUGAAAAAUAAAAGUUAAUUAUUCGAAUAA